GAGGCCUGCCGUCCGCUGCGCUGGUAACCGACCGAAAGCCAGGCAGACAUGCAGUAGCGGACAAGCAGCUCGUCGCGCGCGCGCGCCAGGUCUCACCGGGAUGCCAUCACUCAUCACCACAGCGCCCCCGCUGCCUGCCACCGCUCCAUCUGCAUUCGCACCGCUCGCUUUUCUCUUCCUGACUUCCUCUCGCUCCCUGCCGGAUCUAGGCAGUUUCUGUUCUCGCGGAGCACAAAUUGUCCGUAAGGACAUCCUCGCUCGCGCUCUCUCCAUGCUCGUCGUCGUCCUUGUCAUCGUUGUUGUCUCUGUGGUGGACGCCAAGGGCGAGCGGCGAGCUGCCGUGGGUGUGAGUGUGAUGAGGACGGCGGUCAUAGUGGGCCUGCUGGGACUCGUGGCCGCGGCGUCCUCCUCCGGCGCGGAUGUCCUUACGGACAACUUGUCCUCCGCCGACCAAGGUACCGCGCCUUCCUCGAUCUUUGUGUCGCUGAUUUGUUCAUCUGCCUGUCUCAUCUCUUCAGGAAACUGAGCCACAACAAUUUAUCUGGAUUCAUCCCUGAUUCACUAAUCGCUUCUGACAACCUCUUCAUCCUGGAUCAGUCAUCCAACAACCUGAGCGGCACGGUGCAGGAAUUUAGAAUAAAGAAUGUACUGUAAGUGAUUUCUUCGUCACAUUUUUUUCUCUCUCCCGUUGGGCUAACUGUACUGUCCAUUUUUUUUUUGAGAAAACAACGGGGGGGUCUGGGGGCGAUCACGCAGUAGUGCGAGAUC